GUGUGCAACCAUACAAGCAGUAAUGCACCCUAUCCUAUCAGAACACCGUAGUGAAGCAUGCUUGGGCGAGAGUAGUACUAGGAUGGGUGACAUCCUGGGAAGUCCUCGUGUUCCACCUC
rnacentral:rRNA from 1 species